rnacentral:rRNA from 1 species
GACCUGGUGGUCAUAGCGAGGGCCCCCCACCCGAUCCCAUCCCGAACUCGGCCGUGAAACCCCUCUGCGCCAAUGGUACUUUGUCUUAAGGCACGGGAGAGUAGGUCGCCGCCAGGUCC